GACGAACGCUGGCGGCGUGCUUAACACAUGCAAGUCGAACGAUGAUCUCCCGCUUGCGGGGGUGAUUAGUGGCGAACGGGUGAGUAAUACGUGAGUAACCUGCCCUUGACUCUGGGAUAAGCCUGGGAAACCGGGUCUAAUACUUGAUACUACUUCCUGCCGCAUGGUGGGGGGUGUAAAGGGUUUUACUGGUUUUGGAUGGGCUCCCGGCCUAUCAGCUUGUUGGUGUAGUAAUGGCUCACCAAGGCGACGACGGGUAGCCGGCCUGAGAGGGUGACCGGCCACACUGGGACUGAGACACGGCCCAGACUCCGACGGGAGGCAGCAGUGGGGAAUAUUGCACAAUGGGCGGAAGCCUGAUGCAGCGACGCCGCGUGAGGGAUGACGGCCUUCGGGUUGUAAACCUAUUUCAGCAGGGAAGAAGCCACAAGUGACGGUACCUGCAGAAGAAGCGCCGGCUAACUACGUG
rnacentral:rRNA from 1 species